CUCGUUUAUCGCGCGGAUAUUCUGUAACGGCCUUAACGGCCCGUAGAUAAGUCCCUCGCGCCUAUUUCUUUUAUUGAGACUUUAUUUUACUUUUUUUUUUAUUUUUUAUGUCGGCAUCGUUAAACGUAUUAUUCUUAUUUUCUUCACACACGCGCACCUACUAUAUAGUCGUAUAUUUUUAUCUCCUUCUCCCGGAUCGCGUACGACGUGAAGUACGACUUGCGGUUUUCGAUAAGUAUUUAUUUUAUUUUUUUAUUUUUGUAAAUGCUUAUAGGUGCGAUUUCGAAUCAUCGCGGCGCCUUGUUCUAUUAAAUAUGCUUUUAUUAUACAAUACGAGCAGAGUUGGCCAAUAUAUUUUUCGGUCGAGAGAUUUAUUACAAGAAUAUUCGUUUUUA